AGGAAGGCUGAUCAUCUGGGGCCCCAGUUCGAUGUUUAUUUUGUUUAGAAACGCCGCCUGAUGCUGGUUUGGUUUAAAUACACUGAAAAAUUACAGAAUCAUAUCAUCUCAGAGUUGGAAAGAAGUUCAGAGGCCCUCUGGUUCAUUGAACACAAAAUCUCCUCUACAGGAAAUCCAAGAAGUUGUCAUUCACCCUUUGCUUGCUAAUUUAUUGGUCCUUGUGUUGGAGUUUUAUUGGAUGAAAUGUGAAAUUCAGCUUUUUUAUUGAGGAGUUAGUAGUCUUGGUUUUACAACUUCCAGUUAUAUAUAUGAUCAGGCACUUUGGAAUAAACUUUUGGUACUGCCUCACCAAAAAAAAUGUAGUAUUAACCAAGACAAAUAAUUCCAUAGUUUCAAUAAAGUAAUUUCUAUUUGCCCCUUCAGAAUUCCUGGAGCUUUCCACCUCUCUGGAAUAUUAAGACUUUAAACCCUACCUAGACUUUCUCUAAAUCUCUUGAAAUCUCCACUCAAAAUCUAUGGUGCAUAUCAAACAAAA